UGCAGAGCAGGACUCUUUCGGGUAGGGUUUGUUCUUGGCAUGGGAAGCACAUCUGAACAGAGUGUGACAUGGCAAAAGCGGUGCUUGGCUGAAAGGAUGCGCCACUUCUAAGGGAAAAUAUUGGGUAAAGUGAUUCAAUCCAGGAUUUCUGGCACCCAAGUUGCACCGUGGUCUGUCUCUGCCUCACCCACAUCUCUGGGCACUCCCUCUCUGCCCCUGACCCACAGGAAGGUGCUGGAAGCCCCCCGUGACCCAUAAAUGCCCUUUCUCAAUCAUGACACCCAAAGGAGGAGGCAUUUUUCUUCCUGCUGACAAGGCACGGUUUUACACCUCUCAAGGGAAUUCUGUGAGGAGUGGCAGCGUCAUGGAGCAUUUCAGGAGCCCGAGCUGGUGGGGUCGGAUUGCAAUCACAACAUCAGCUGCCCCUGGCAUGUGUGUGCUCUGUUUGACACGGCUGCAAGGAGGGGGACUGGCACUGGACUUGCUCUGAUGUUCAAAAGAUGCUUCAUCGCUUUUGAGAGACCCGCAAUGCGGAUUUUUCUGCCCAAUUACAAGAUACCACCCAAACCCAAGAAGAGAGAGGAAGAAGAGGAAAGGAACUCGAGACAACACCCUGUACCCUCCAUCUUGAACCCAUCUAGAACAUACUAAAAAUCCUGAACCCUAAAUUUCUCACCCCUGUGACACACUACACUGCUCUCUACAAUCUCCACAAUCCAUUUCACACUUUUGUGGUUUCUGGUUUACCUUGAGGCUUUGGAAGUUUUCUCCAUGGAUGAGGGUCAGGGUCAGUGCUCCCCUGGGGCUCAGGACACCCCAGAGCAGAGAGAGAAAUGUUCCCGGUGCUCUGGGUUUCCACACUUUAUUAUACUAUAUUAGACUAUAACUAUAUUGCACUUUAUUAGACUAACAAGAACUAUCACUAACUAACUAUAUCACUAAUUAACUAACCAAAAAACCCGUGACUCUCUCCUGAGAGUCCCAACACAGCUGCUGGAUCCAAUUGGUCCCUGAAUCCAAACAGCUAUCACCAGAAUCUAAUUAAGUAAUCACUUUGAGUAAACAAUCUCUAUACCACAUUCCAUAUGGACACAAACACAGGCACAGAUAAGAAUUGUUUUCUCUUCUUCCCUCUGUGCUUCCCCAAGAAAAAACCCUGAGAGAGAGAAUUAUGUCUCUCUGUUCAGAGAACGUGAAUGCUACAGGCCCCUGCUUGCACUGGGCCAGGAGAGCCCCUGUAAAAUAAGUGUCCUGACAGCUUCCACUGGAAGUGUCCUGUGCCCCGGGGGGUUCUCCUGGAGCACGCUGGAUUCCUCCUGGGUAAACUGAACGGGAAGACUGCCUGAGAUGCACACUUGCUACUGUCCAGUGUCUAAAAGGUGACCAGCCCAGGAGACCAGGGGAAAGCUGGUCUGAAAUAAACCUUCCUGAGGUGUGCUUAGGGGGAAGAUGAAUCCAGCCCUGAGCUCUAAGGACGUUUGACAGCACUGUGCUGCUCAUCAGUGUAAACUGAGCUGCCAAGUGCUCGGCUUGGUCAAGAAACCAUGGAUUUCAGGCCAAAAGUGCCAGUGUCAGAGUAUUUGACAGCCCCCCUCCCCCUGGCCCACAAGCCCACGCUCCAGUGGUACCUGUUCUGCCCCCAAAGGAUGGGACUCACUCACACCCUGCACAUUGCUCAGCUUCUCCCCAAUCCCUGGCAGAAAGGAUCCCUUGAGGAGCCCUGCAGUGCAGACUAGGCUGAUGUCCCCAGCCUGGCUGGAGCCUUUGGAAGCCUUCCUGGAGCUUCCUGGACCUGCAGGCAGCAGAGGGAUGGGCAGUGUCCCAGAACAGAGCCAGGCUUUGCAGUGCCCAUCCCUGCAGGUGUCCCCUGGAGGUGGCACUCAGAGCUCUGGGCUGGGGACAAGGUGGGCACGGGGCACAGCUGGCACUGCCUGGGCUGGGAGGGCUUUUCCAGCCCCGGGGA